GAACCUGACGGACUAUAGUAUGACUGCCUGCCACGCAGAAGGUUCCGGGUUUAAUUCCCGGUGGGGUCA